ACAGUCUAAAAGUCUCCAGAAGCACAAUUUACACGUUAAUAUUGUUUUGAAUAGCGGAGACACUCCACAAUAACGAACAAUACUUUUAGUCCCAAAGAUGUCCGCUAUUGCGGAAUUUCACUGUUUGACCUAUACUGAAGGGUUCUGUGAUGGGUAGGUCUGUUUUACCGAUAUCUGAUUCCCGUAGCGGUGGGCAACCCAACAUAUUGUGUCGUUUACUCGCAAACACCCGGUAUAUUUAGUGUUCAAGUUUAAUUCAUGACCAUAAUUAAUUGAUAAUACGGUAAUGCACCAAAUUCGUAGAAGGAGGAUAAUAUUGAAUAAUACAGUAACUGAUAUACAUGUUGUACCGACUAAAUAUGUAUAUCGAAAAUUACGGUGACACAACUUUCCUCACAUCAUUAUUUUACGAAAUCACGUCUCGCCGUAGCAUAUUGAAUAUUCAUUUUUCUCGAACGUUUACAAUACAUUACUUUACCUGAUACACCGAAUGUAACGUGAAUAGGUACGUUCUGCGAAACAUACUGACUGAUUAUGGUAUGUGUGUAUGUACGUGACACUUUUAAAUGUGAAACGCGUAUUUCAGUACCUGAGUACUGCGAGGAAUAAUUUUUACUACGGAUGAAUCGAUCCAAUUCCUAUUUAAUGAUAUUCUUUCGUGAUUUAUGACGUUUUUGGUUGAUAUUACGUAUAAUCAUGACAUAUAUGUAAUAUUGCCAAACAUCUUGUCGAGAAAUUCGAAAGUUCGCAGGAUCCGCAUGUCGAUCCACGUCUCGUUGACAAAUGGAAUUUAUACGUGCAACUAUCGUGUUAAGGGGUUACGUGGGUCUUUAACUUUCAAGAAAUCCAUUUGUCGUAUAAUUUUUUUUUUUCCAACACAAUAAUAGAUUUAUUUUAAUCAAACUUAAGGCAUACGAGAGAAUAAUAUUUGAACUAUAUUGCGUACAAUUUUUAUCUGAAAAUUUAGCAAAUUCAGUCCUUGCGAAGUGGUUCUCAGAAACCUAGUAUUUCCGCAGUGAACACAAUAAUUCCUGCUAGCUUCACCUGAAAUUAUGAAGCCAAAUAUUUUCUGUUAGUAGGUGAGUAUAUAAGCUAGAAAAUGAACGAUGGAUUUUUAAAACAAAUUUUAAUUUGAAUCAUAGGCACAGCUUUUUGCAAAAACGUACAAUUUUAGGUAUACUUUACACCAUGCAUUGCCUUGUAGAACAAGUUGUGAUCGACGAAAAAAAUCCCUUCGUUCUUUCUCUAGCUAUGCUCACCUACUAGCAGAAAAUAUUUGGUUUUUUGAUUCCAGAUGAAACUAGCAGGAUCAUUUAUAGAGUCCACCGCGAAAAUACUGGGUUUCCGUAAACCACUUCGGAACGACAGAAUAUUCAACAUUUUUGGAUAAAAAUUUUACAAAAUAUAGUUCAAACAUUAUUCCGUUAUGUACCUUACGUUUUAUUGAAAUGAUUCUUUUACUAUUAUUAGAAAAAAUUUAUAGAAACAAUGGAUUUUUUGAAAGUUAAAGACCCACGUAAUCCUUUAAGGCCACUGGUUUCCGUUACAUGGUAACAUGAAACGGAAUAGGAGAAAUGUAAACGGUGAGACGGUGAUGUAAGACAGAGCCCGAUAAUGCCAAGGACAUGCGACGCUCAUCAUGAACGGAACGCUGAAUGCAUUCUACUACAGUGAUCGAUGAAUAUUUAAAUCUAUUUCUCGUCUAUCUCACCUGUUACCCCGGCGAUCAGUCGAUCAAUUGCACCGGCUUCAUAAAGUUCCUGCGGUGCGUAAAACGAAGAAAGUAAAGAUCUUUCGCCAAACUUGACGAACUUUUUCGAUCGCGUAUCAACCAGAUCGAUGGUCUUGGGGGUGAUU
rnacentral:lncRNA from 1 species